CCUACGUGCGGCAGCAGUGGGGAAUAUUGCGCAAUGGGCGAAAGCCUGACGCGGCGACGCCGCGUGAGGGAUGAAGGUCUUCGGAUCGUAAACCUCUGUCAGCAGGGAAGAACGGUCACUGUGCUAAUCAGCAGUGAAUUGACGGUACCUGCACAGGAAGCACCGGCUAACUCCGUGCCAGCAGCCGCGGUAAUACGGAGGGUGCGAGCGUUAAUCGGAAUUACUGGGCGUAAAGCGCUCGUAGGCGGUAUGUCAAGUCAAGGGUGAAAUCCCCGCGCUCAACGUGGGAACUGCCUUUGAAACUGGCAAACUGGAGUGUGUGAGAGGAUAGUGGAAUGCCAGGUGUAGGAGUGAAAUCCGUAGAUAUCUGGAGGAACAUCAGUGGCGAAGGCGACUAUCUGGCACAUAACUGACGCUGAGGAGCGAAAGCGUGGGUAGCAAACAGGAUUAGAUACCCCUGUAGUC
rnacentral:rRNA from 1 species